GUAGAGACCGAUAGCAAUCACGUGAUAGAAAGAAUUCGCAUAUUUGCACGUGCUGUUUUUCCGGAUUCCGCAACGCCGUCAAAUAAAAGUCCCCAUUUACACAUUAUUGUCUAUGCUACAAGAUGGCCGACGAAGCAAUCGAGAAAUAUCCUCUAUUUCAAAGACAAAUUUGCCCUACAUAUUAAAUCUUUACAGUUCUCGAAAUUGAAGCAUCUUCAUGAGAAUCAAAAUAGAAGUGAGACUGAAACCGACCAAGAACAUAAUUUUGAUGAAACUACUCCUUGUCCAGUGUCCACUGACCACUGCAGCACCACGUGGGUGCACCGGUAUCGAUCUGUGCCUGAUGUUGUUUUCUGGUUAGACAUUUUAAAGACCAUGACCCUACAGAUGUUAAUUGGUAUGACGGAAGAAGAAAAAUUUUUGCAGAACAGAUUUUUUGUAUGUUGUGUCCGUGUCAGAUACAUAAGGUGAAGCAAGCUAUGGACUAGACAGUGUAUUCAGCUUUCUCUGCUGAAAAAAUGUGACCAAAUCAAGUGUCACCUGCCUGGAAAGAGGAAUGUCAAUGGUGCUUUUUACAUCACCUCCAAAAUAGCCAUUGGAAAGUUCAAGCCAGAUCUGCUACAGAAAACUGAACAUAAAGUGGCAUACUUUUGUGUCAGGAAAUGAGGAACAUGUAUAGCUGGACUGAGAAUCUAACUGGGGAUCCCUGCAUCACUACUUACAUAUCCCAUGGAAAUAUAGGAUCCUUGGCUAAUCAAGUGUCAUCUGCAGUGUUACAAAAGAAUAUUGGAUAUCAAUAAGAAAAAGAACUACCAGAAGGAGACGGUAGAGAGGAACGGACAUAUCACACCAUAAGACGUGCUUCAAAAUCUGAAUAUACAGAAUGAAUUUUGCUAACUGCAGAUCACCUUGUGAAAGAACACCUUUGUUGUAUUGACAUAAAAACAACGGAAUUGUCAGGAUCCUUGAACAUGACGCACCUGGCUGCAUACGAUGGCAAUUAAAAAUGCAUACAUGUUUACACUGAUCUUUGUUAGCCAAUAAGACAAAAAGCAAAAUAGCAAGUUUAUCCUAUUACCGUACAUGUACUGAAUGUAUUCACUUUAUUUUGUUGAACUACAUCAUGAGUUUAAAAAUUGUACAGUAUCAUAUACAGUUUAUGGUGGGAUUCCUCUAACUUUUAUGAAUCUGUUUGCAAAAUCUAUACUUUAAGGUUACAAAUUAUUACCUCUAAUACAUUGUAUGUUCUUUUUUUGUAAAUUAUUACACUAUUUUUGUAUGUAUGUAAUGGUAAACAAAUAAUCCUAUUUUCCCGCACUUUUUACCAUGUGAUGCUUUAGUGUAUUAAUAUCUGACAACUGAUGACCAGGCAGUCUUCAUUUAAUAGUGUAAUACAUAACCCAUUUUUAUCUGAAUAUUUUUAAAACAAGAAUAACAUGCUGUGGAUUGAUUCUGCGUUCAAAACUUCUUAAUCACUGGGUUUUCUUAUUUAUGUUGUACAUGUAUUUGGAAUAAAAAUGGAAUUGUUAAAAGAAAAGUGAAAUUAAUCAUUCUAUUGUUGUCAAAGGAAGAUAAUAAAACCAGUUUACUUAUGCACAGAAUUGGUCAAAACAUAUUGUCAUUGAUAAUUCAUCUAAUAAUCAUAUGUAUAAUAAAUCUACAAAGUCAAUUUGAACGAUA